rnacentral:rRNA from 1 species
UACGUAGGGUGCGAGCGUUAAUCGGAAUUACUGGGCGUAAAGCGUGCGCAGGCGGCUUUGCAAGACAGAGGUGAAAUCCCCGGGCUCAACCUGGGAACUGCAUUUGUGACUGCAAGGCUAGAGUACGGCAGAGGCGGAUGGAAUUCCGCGUGUAGCAGUGAAAUGCGUAGAUAUGCGGAGGAACACCAAUGGCGAAGGCAAUCCCCUGGGCCUGUACUGACGCUCAUGCACGAAAGCGUGGGGAGCAAACAGG